UUUGUAUACAACCACGCCCGGCUCGGGGUGACUACAAAAUGCCAGGCCUCGUCAGUUCCCUCACUCAGAUUUCCAGGGCUGCAAAGUUUCUCUCUCCAUGGCGGUGAUUUAACGACCAGCACGAGCUGCUUUUCGAAAGUUGUGAAUGGUUUAAGUCAAGUUGGCAACGCACAAACAAGGCCAGAGCGAGGCCCUAUGGUUCUGUAGAGUGGAAGUCCCUGAAACUAUUUCCUACAUCAAAUAUAUGGACUUUAGACUUACCAGAUUUCCCAUCAUUGGACCGGUGGUUGACUAAGAAGUGGAGAGGAUAUCAGGGUCCAAUUGCUAUAACAGAAUAUACUCGACUGGGUGGAUGAAAUAACAAGCAACCAUUUCUCACAGUUCUGGGAGAUGGAACUCAAGGUCAGGUGCCAGCAUGGUCAGUUUCUUGAAAGAUGGAGUCCUUCUGCAAUGAAACUGUCUGGUUGGAUGGGCAACCUAUGAAGAUGGAGAGGAAGGAAACAUUUGAAUGGAACACAGAUCAUCCCCUUCCUAACACACUGCAUGGAAUUCAAUUACUCUCUGUGUAGUUGAAUUUCUUUUUUUUUUAAAGAUUUAUUUUUAUUUAUGCAUACAGGAACUGGGGUGCAGGCCAGAGGUUCAGGAGGGUGAGAGGAUUUGCCAGAGACAGAGAGGAGAACAGAACAGGCAGACUGACUGAAAUACACUGCUGAGGAGAGCAGCGGGUGAGACAGGAAAGGUCUGCCACACCAUGUGGGUAUCUCACCAGCUGGCAGGAAUCAAAUCCACGCUGCAGAGGCUGUGGACAGCUUCACAGCUUCACAGCUCUGUGCUCAACCAUCUGUACCACCAGGGAGGCCCUAGUUGCAUUUCUUAAUCUACUGAAACUUGAACAAUUACUAUCUGCAGACUUGAAAUUAGAUAUUCCCAGUCUGUCAGGUGGGAUAGGUCCAAGAGGUUAUUUUGUGGAGGUUGACCCAAUAUGAAUGCAGCUCAGAUUUGUCUACUUGAUGCUAGUGGUUCUGCCACAGGCAGUAUUUGUAUAGCAGAGCUCAGCCAGCUCUCCCCAAAGAAUUUAUCUUCUUUCUUUCCUACUAACUCAGCCUACCAGAUGCUCCAGUUUCCUUUAUAAUAGCCUUAACUAGUGGGGUAUGUUAAAAACAUGUUUUCAGAAGUGGGUUUAUGGAGGGGGGAGAGGUUUCUGUAGGUCUGGUGAGGAUAGGAAAUGUCAUCUUUGUCUUGAAAGAAAGGACAAGUUUUUUUUUUUUUUUUUUGGUCUUUAACUAUACUGUAGGUACCAAAACAAAAUUUCAGGUUUUCAAUACAUGUAAAAGAUUGCUAAAUGGGCAGGGUAUCAAAAUGUGACCACAUGGAAUACUGGCCCAUACCCCUGCAGCAGGGGGCAGGCUCCAUCCAUGAGAGGUUCUAAGUUUACCCAAGGACAAGAGGAAGCAUUGGGUAGCAGUAUCUCUGUCCUGACUGGACCCCUCUUGGUGGGAGACUGUUGCCAUGGUUCCUGUUUCCAGACCCCAGUGCUCCUCUGCUUCUUACCUGCUUCUCCAGCCUCUCCUCAGUCCUCUGAGUGCCCCACAUCCUUUCAGUAAUCUUUUUGCUUAAGUUAAACAAAGCCAGUUCUUGUUCCUUUCAGCUAAAAAAAAAAAAAAAUCCCAACAC